GGCGCCAGGGGCCGCUCUGGCGCGUCCCCGGGCCGGACGUCCUGCGCCAGCCCCCGGCGGGAGCCCAGCUCGUCCCGGUCGGGGCCUCCCGCCCGGGGCGGGACACGCGGCUGCGGCCCGCUCCCGCUCGAGGCAGCCCGGGCCGCAACUCCGCCGGAGGCCCCGCGGAACGCGGGGCGAGCCCGGCCUCUACACGGGCCACGCAGGCCGAAGAAAAAAGGAACUUAUCAAAUAAUGUAAGAAAGAUGGAUAUCAUGUGUCCUCUUAUUCAAUCCAUCUUAAGAAGCAACAGCACGCUUAGAUGAGAUAGAAUCAUCUUCAUUUUCAUGCAGACGCUUUCUCGUUGUGGCUGACUAAAAGAAAGAUGCAGCAGGGUGGCUACAUUAAUCAGGUGCUACAAACAAACGGGGAGAUGUAUUACAGUAGUUACAUACCACAAUUGCUGAAACCUUUUCCAAGUGCAAAGAGUCGACCCCAAGGCUGAGGAACAAGCUCUUCAGGUUCCUGAUCCUCAGGGAUUGAUGGAAGCUCCUGAGUGG